CGGAGCUCUUUUUUCGGGAUCGCUUUGAGAAGAAGAAGUCUGACGGGCGAGAAUACAUCGGGGUUCUGAGUUGAGGCAGCGCUGCGAUUGCUGCUGGGACGGUUUCUUAGGAUCACAGCGCUAGACGUCGUUGAUUGCUUGAAUUAAAUGCCUGAAGGUGAAGUGAAGCUGCGCUAAUUCCGGUAAAUUUCUCGUCGUUGCUUAACAAACUCCGUUGAGACUCAAGCAGGGUGACUAGUGCUGGAGUUUACCUUAUCUGAUCUGUUAUUUGGAGAAACGACAAUGACUGCUUUAUUCAGGAGGCAGUAGCCUACAGGCUGGAGGGGAGACUAACUCAUUUCAUAUCAGGGAACCAUUGUCUUCUCAAUAAGCCAUCUUUUAACUCACAG